UUCAAUGGCGGUUCAGGCAGGGGAGACUCACGUCUCGCCGGAUCGAUUGACCUCCGGUAUUGGAAACCCUGUCUGAACCACCACCAAU
rnacentral:antisense_RNA from 1 species